GACCUUACAGAAUGUAUUGGUUGCUGCUCUGGGAAUUCGCCUCAUGAAGAUUCUUUAGCUUUCACUGACCUUGCAUCUCUUUUUCUAAAUUACUCAACUGGUCAUCUUUCAGAGUUUCGGACACAAACUAGGAGAUAGUUCUUGUGACACUACUUAUAUCUGUAGACUAAGCAGAAAGAUUCACAUCUGCGUACCAGUUUAUGUUAGAAAACAAUGCCAAAGCCUGAGAUCUACAUUGUGAAUGUGGUGAUUAAAACUGUAAAUCAGCUGUAGCUUUUGUGGUCAUGACAUGAGCCAUGAAGACUAUGGUCAACCAAGGAUUAUUCGCAGCUGUUGGUCAUCGCUUUCAUGUUUUGGUUCAAAAAUUCUGGUAAUUUUAGAUAUGCUUUUCUUUCAUUGCUCAAUUGUGACUUUUAACCACUUUGAUAUCCACAAAACAAAAGAAAUCUUGUCGUCCUGAAGAUAUUUUUGAGUUAGCCAAGGAAGAUGUACCGUUCAAGCAAUGAAGUUGCACAAAACUUGGUGGAGUAUCUUCCAACAUUCAAGUCUAAGCGGAAUGUUUUGGAGCAUUCUGGUAGUUAGUCAAGCCUGUUUGUUGCUACUUGCUGCUCUUAGUGAACCUACCUUGAUAAAGGCUCUCAAGCUCUCUCUGUUUUUAUGAUUGUUGGUUGCUAGUAUUUGUAUGGUAAAUUUCUUCUUUUGGGGCUUUGGUUACAAUGACAGAAAACCUGCAAUUAUUGAAAUUUUCCUUUAGUUGUAUGCUACGCUAUAUGCCAUCCUGAGUUUGAGUUUUUGUGCUUUGGAGUGAUUUUAGGCCCAAAGCUCAACAGGGAACCUCAUUGAUGCUUUUAAACUAGCAAAUGAUUCAGACAUUUGUUGUCAUGAUAAUAAGGUGCUGAUUUACAUGUUUUAGAACUCAAUUUGUCAUCUCUGGCAUGCUGCUUGUAGUUAGGAGUUAGAUCUACCCAGUGUUAUGGUAGUAGUUGAAUGUGGAUCUCUAUUGUGCCUCAUUGUCCCAUAGCUCUAUUGUGCAUCAAUGCCUCAAUAUGGGAUGCUUUGCAUGUGCUACGAAAAGUGCCUAUCAUUAUUUUCAAGUUUUUAAGUUGUAAUUACUUGCGUUGCAUUGCGGUCGGAACCAAACUAAUGUAAUGGUCAUAGGAAUAACUGUAAACACAACUCUGUAAACAAACAUUUUACCCUUUUGUGAGAUUGACAGAACCAAAGUAUUGUUGAAUUAUCUGAACUUUCUCAUUAGCUUUCUUGUUGACCACAUAUUGUCCCAGUUCGAGUUUUCUGUUGUGCAAUGAUAUCAGGCUCAAACGUCAACUGGAAUCUACAACUGCUCUUAACCUUUGAAAACUUUGUUGAAUCAGAUCCUGUUUCAAUUGGAGAGAAAUGACUAGGAUGGCACACUACAGUCUCUCAAGAUCAAGGACAUCAUUAACGUGAAUUUCUGGUGAUCAUCCUGAGAGGUUUGGUUGGUGAUAGAGAAACACAUUGAUCGUGAGAAGCUUGCAAAUUUUCUAGAAAUAGC